AGAGUUUGAUCCUGGCUCAGGACGAACGCUGGCGGCGCGCCUAACACAUGCAAGUCGAACGAGCGAGAGAGCUUGCUUUCUCGAGCGAGUGGCGAACGGGUGAGUAACGCGUGAGGAACCUGCCUCAAAGAGGGGGACAACAGUUGGAAACGACUGCUAAUACCGCAUAAGCCCACGGGUCGGCAUCGACCAGAGGGAAAAGGAGCGAUCCGCUUUGGGAUGGCCUCGCGUCCGAUUAGCUAGUUGGUGAGGUAACGGCCCACCAAGGCGACGAUCGGUAGCCGGACUGAGAGGUUGAACGGCCACAUUGGGACUGAGACACGGCCCAGACCUCCUACGGGAGCA
rnacentral:rRNA from 1 species